rnacentral:rRNA from 1 species
CGCGUAGGUGGCUUGUUAAGCGUGUGGUGAAAGCCCGGGGCUCAACCCCGGGUCUGCCGUGCGGACUGGCAAGCUGGAGCAUAGUAGAGGCGAGUGGAAUUUCGGGUGUAGCGGUGGAAUGCGUAGAUAUCCGAAAGAACACCGGUGGCGAAGGCGGCUCGCUGGGCUAUUGCUGACACUGAUGCGCGACAGCGUGGGGAGCAAACAGGAUUAGAUACCCUGGUAGUCCACGCCGUAAACGAUGGGUACUAGGCGUCUGGGGGAGCGACCCCCUGGGUGCCGUCGCUAACGCAUGAAGUACCCCGCCUGGGGAGUACGGCCGCAAGGCUGAA